CAGCCGCCGCGGGAAUACGAAGGGGGCUAGCGUUGUUCGGAUUUACUGGGCGUAAAGCGCACGUAGGCGGACUUUUAAGUCAGGGGUGAAAUCCCGGGGCUCAACCCCGGAACUGCCUUUGAUACUGGAAGUCUUGAGUAUGGUAGAGGUGAGUGGAAUUCCGAGUGUAGAGGUGAAAUUCGUAGAUAUUCGGAGGAACACCAGUGGCGAAGGCGGCUCACUGGACCAUUACUGACGCUGAGGUGCGAAAGCGUGGGGAGCAAACAGGAUUAGAUACCCGCGUAGUCCCUGUCUCUUAUAC
rnacentral:rRNA from 1 species